CCUACGGGAGGCAGCAGUGAGGAAUAUUGGUCAAUGGUCGGGAGACUGAACCAGCCAAGCCGCGUGAGGGAUGAAGGUACAGAGUAUCGUAAACCUCUUUUGUCAGGGACCAAAGGCGGGGACGCGUCCCCGGAUGAGUGUACCUGAAGAAAAAGCAUCGGCUAACUCCGUGCCAGCAGCCGCGGUAAUACGGAGGAUGCGAGCGUUAUCCGGAUUUAUUGGGUUUAAAGGGGGCGAAGGCGGUUUAUUAAGUCAGCGGUAAAAGCCCGGGGCUCAACCCCGUCCCGCCGUUGAAACUGGCAGUCUCGAGUGGGAGAGAAGUAUGCGGAAUGCGCGGUGUAGCGGUGAAAUGCAUAGAUAUCGCGCAGAACUCCGAUUGCGAAGGCAGCAUGCCGGCGCCACACUGACGCUGAGGCACGAAAGCGUGGGUAUCGAACAGGAUUAGAUACCCGGGUAGUC
rnacentral:rRNA from 1 species